CUUAUGGUGGUCGUGGUGGCGGGGGCGGGGUUGUUUCUGGUUUGGGAAAAGGAAUUCCAUGUUCCAAUAAUCUCCUCACUUGAUGCUGAAUGAACUCACACGUGAACUUUCAACCUCUUUAUCCCUUUCCCUCCACUCAACUUUCUAGUUUUCUCAAAAAGCAAUACCAAAAUGAAUAUAAUGGGUUGCAAACUUUAUCCUAUAAUCAAAGUUUGAAUAGAUCAAAAAUCAAAAGGGAUUUUGAUAGCAAUCUGCAACAAAAAGAGAAACUAUAGAUUUGGGAACUGUAUAAAAUGCAAGGCAUUGUAACUUAAUUUUUCCCCUAAAGCAAGAAGUCAGAUGCAUAGACCGUGAAUGAGUCAACAUCACAAUUCCUGGAUUGUGAACUAACUACAGACUGUAACAUGGAAACAUAGCGAUGGAAACAUUACUGAAGCAAUUUAAAUCUCCAGAUAAAUGGCUUUGAAGUUCAAAUUAAUCAACCUACUAGAUUCAGAUACUUGCAACUACCGUCAUGAAAAUGUUAGUGAGGUUACAAUAUUUUACCAGCAAAUAUUAGAGCUGAUGUAUUGAAGAAUGUGCUGAGCUUUAACACUACUACUUAAGGAGCACAACAGAGAGAAAUUUCAAAUUGUCAAAAUCAGAUUUACAUUAACUAAUCAAAUCCCCACCUUGCUGUCAUUUGCCAUGUCAACCUAAUGCACAAUAAACAUUGGAACUCAUCUUCUUUAUUUUUCUUCUAAUUACAAACACAAUAACACAUUUUAUACUCACUGCAGAUACUCCUAUGUGAGUUAAAUUAAACUUUCCCUGCAGAAAAGUUCUGAGUGUUCCAGGCAUCAUGAUUUCCCAAAAUAAUUGUUUUGGAAAUUCCAAGAUUGGCUAUACUUCUAACACGAUCAACAUUCUCAUUACCAAAAUCAUCUGGAGAAGACCCCCAAAGAAAAACGAAAAACAAAAGGAACUGAUGAAUUCUUGACAUCCCAACAAUUGACCUAAUCUACAGAAUUAGCAAGAAAUACAAAGAGAAAGCAGGCACGCAAAUAAGUGGAUAAACAGCGUCACCUGCCUGUGAACAGCACCAGAUCCGGCUGCAUUAUCACACACACAAAAAAUAAUGAAUACAAGAAGAGAUAUAAAAGCAUUUAGAGUAAUAUUAUAUGCAGGCAGCAUGGAAUUGAAACUAAAAAAUUUAGGGCCUGUCGGUACUGAUUCUUAGAAUCAAUUUUUUGACCGUUAGAUAGAAAAGUCUGUGAGUGAAGAAGUAAAAAAUGACGACUGACUAUGUUAAAUAACAAUAAAAAAUUGAUUUUUUGGCUUGAAAAAUCAGAACCAAAUGGGGGCUUAAUAC
rnacentral:lncRNA from 1 species